AUAUCUAUAGUAUAAGCAAUUACAUCAGCUUUUCAAGCUGAAAAUAUGAUUUUCAUUAGAUAUC
rnacentral:tRNA from 1 species